AUUGAACGCUGGCGGCAGGCCUAACACAUGCAAGUCGGGCGGAGCGGCGGACGGGUGAGUAAUGUAUGGGGAUCUGCCUGAUGGAGGGGGAUAAAUCCUGGAAACGUUAGCUAAUACCGCAUACCAUCAGCUGAACCCAUAGGGGAUUAGCUUGUAGGUGCGGUACCGGCUCACUUAGGCGACGAUCAGUACCUGGUCUGCGAGGAUGAUCAGUCACACUGGAACGUAGACACGGUCCAGACUCCUACGGGAGGCAGCAGUGGGGAAUAUUGGACAAUGGGCGAAAGCCUGAUCCAGCCAUGCCGCGUGUGUGAAGAAGGUCUUCGGAUUGUAAAGCACUUUAAGUUGGGAGGCGUUACCAACAGAAUAAGCACCGGCUAACUUCGUGCCAGCAGCCGCGGUAAUUC
rnacentral:rRNA from 1 species